AUCACUCAGCGGAGGAAAAGAAACCAACAGGGAUUCCCUCAGUAACGGCGAGCGAAGCGGGAAGAGCCCAGCGCUGAAUCGCCCGGUCGAUAAAUGGCCGGCGCGAAAUGUAGCGUUUGGGAGCGCCUUUGCGUCCCUCGUGGGCGAAUGCCCUCGAAGCGCGUCCAAGUCCUCCUGAGCGAGGCUGUCAGUCCUUAGAGGGUGCGAGACCCGUAUGACGCGUGGCGGGGGACGCUCUGAGCGAUCACUCCCUAGAGUCGGGUUGUUUGAAAGUGCAGCCCAAAGUCGGUGGUAAAUUCCACCUAAGGCUAAAUACAACCGCGAGUCCGAUAGCGAACAAGUACCGUGAGGGAAAGUUGA
rnacentral:rRNA from 1 species